GGUGCCUAGUGGUUAGAGCGUCCGCCUUGGAUGCGGGAUUUCGUGGGUUCGAUCCCCGACAGAGUCA